rnacentral:rRNA from 1 species
UACAGAGGGGGCCAGCGUUAUUCGGAAUUAUUGGGCGUAAAGGGCACGUAGGCGGCUUUGCGUGUCUUUCGUGAAAUCCCUCGGCUCAACUGAGGACGUGCGGAAGAAACUGCAGGGCUGGAGUCCGGGAGAGGAGGGUGGAAUUCCCAGUGUAGCGGUGAAAUGCGUAGAUAUUGGGAGGAACACCGGUGGCGAAGGCGGCCCUCUGGACCGGUACUGACGCUGAUGCGCGAAAGCGUGGGGAGCAAACGGG